rnacentral:rRNA from 1 species
CACCUGACUCCAUUCCGAACUCAGAAGUGAAACGAAACAGCGUCGAUGGUAGUGUGGGGUCUCCCCAUGUGAGAGUAGAACAUCGCCAGGC